UAUACUUUAGUAUAUAUGUAUGACAGUUUUUGAUAUUGUAGGAGUUAGUAGUAUUCUAGCAAGUAUAU
rnacentral:tRNA from 1 species